UAUCUUUACAACCAAGGCUGUCCCUUCUAAAAGGUGAUCUGCAGAAGGGAACAAAUUUGGGGUUGUAUACUUUUUUGUACUUUUAAAUAUGUCCCCCUACCUACUGACUCCUGCCCCCCCCUUCUUAUGUAGAAAAUAAGGAAUUUCAAGUGUUACAUUUUCUCGCUUUUUGUUGAAGGUUUCAGUUGAAGGAUGCAAAGAUGUGGAUUUGGAGUUGUCUUAUCCCUUAAUUGAAGGAAUGGAGGUGGUGUUAAAGAUUCAAAGAUCUUUUUUCCCCAAUUGUGUGUUUUUGUAUCCAGCAGGCCUAUCAAAAUCAGAUGGGCCAUUAAGGAAUAUUGCAGUACAAAGGAUUGGUUAAUGGCCCUACCCACACCUGGGAAAUGCUAUGUGCAAGGAAGCUCAACUUGUGUAAGUGGAAGCUGAAUGAAGGAAAUAAAACAAAGUCACAGGAAAAUUUUCCAAUGGUUUGGCUGUUUGAACUUUGACAGGGCCACACACUCUGAACUGAAGCACAAGAUCCCCAGGGGCUGCCUCCUGAUCUACUCUGAGAGACGCUUUGACUUGACAGAUCUUUGUCACUCUUACGAU